rnacentral:rRNA from 1 species
UACAGAGGUCUCAAGCGUUGUUCGGAUUCAUUGGGCGUAAAGGGUGCGUAGGCGGCGCGUUAAGUCGGGUGUGAAAUCCUGGAGCUUAACUCCGAAACUGCAUUCGAUACUGCCGUGCUUGAGGACUGGAGAGGAGACUGGAAUUUACGGUGUAGCGGUGAAAUGCGUAGAUAUCGUAAGGAAGACCAGUGGCGAAGGCGGGUCUCUGGACAGUUCCUGACGCUGAGGCACGAAGGCCAGGGGAGCAAACGGG